AACGAACGCUGGCGGCAUGCUUUACACAUGCAAGUCGAACGGUAACAGGCCGCAAGGUGCUGACGAGUGGCGAACGGGUGAGUAAUGCAUCGGAACGUGCCCAGUCGUGGGGGAUAACGCAGCGAAAGCUGCGCUAAUACCGCAUACGAUCUAUGGAUGAAAGCGGGGGACCGUAAGGCCUCGCGCGAUUGGAGCAGCCGAUGUCAGAUUAGGUAGUUGGUGGGGUAAAGGCCCUCCAAGCCAACGAUCUGUAGCUGGUCUGAGAGGACGACCAGACACACUGGGACUGAGACACGGCUCAUACUCCUACGGGAGGCAGCAGUGGGGAAUUGUGGACAAUGGGCGCAAUCCUGAUCCAGCAAUGCCGCGUGCAGGAAGAAGGCCUUCGGGUUGUAAACUGCUUUUGUACGGAACGAAACGGUUCUCUCUAAUACAGAGGGCUAAUGACGGUACCGUAAGAAUAAGCACCGGCUAACUACGUGCCAGCCGCCGCGGUAAAAC
rnacentral:rRNA from 1 species